rnacentral:lncRNA from 9 species
CUAGUAGAGAACCUAAUAAUACAAAGGUGAGGAAGAUAGAGAAGAUUUCUCAAGGAACAUACAGUCUAGGGUAGGUCUCAUCUAAAACCUGAAAUAUUAGUAUAAUUUAACCAAACAAGAGGGAACAAAUGGAAGCCUUCUCAAAUGACUACAUUGAUAUAGGAAGUCCUUGGAGAUCCAGAAUUAUUUUUACGAGGUCUCCUAGAAGGGGCCUGAUCCUCCUCUUCACUCUCAUUCCAGGAUUAAUUUUAAAGAGAGUGGAGAAGUGAAUGGAGUCCUGGGAUGAUUUGGGGAAUCCAAAAGAACUCUGAGUCCUGGAACUCUGGGAAACAGGAUCUGCAUUCAUUCAGUUGAUCAACAAACAUCCAUAAUGAUCCUCGUGUGCCAUGUGCCAGGCAUAUCUUUACAGGGCUUUUUGUUGUUGUUUAUACAGAGCUGAAUGGCUUCAGGGGAGGUCUGGGGCAAAGAACCCAGUAUAUCACCAAGUCUCUAACACCCGUUCCUCCCCUCACUUUUCAGGAUACAGAAGUUACAGCUCUGAAAGAGAGGAGAGAGAGAACAAACAAGUACCCCCAAAUGGGCUUUACAAUCAUGAUGAGGGGUCACAGAAGCACAAAGCAUCAUGGGAGGUCUAUUUCAGGAGAGACCAGUGGAGGACAGGUGAAGACCAAAGAACAGGUUUCUUAAGAGCACCAAUAAUCUUUUGUCCAUGGAGAGCAAAAUAUUGAGAAGCAGGAGCUGAGAGGCUGCAUUGGGAAGCUGUCUCAGUUAGACUCUAAAAUUCUAAGUGACCGAAAAAUCCAACCUAAAUUAAAUAAAGAAAAUAGGAAUUCAUGGGCUUGUGCCAUUAAAAGUCUAGGUAUGGACCGAAUUUGGAUAAAGCGCACUACCUCAAGAUUCAUACUUUGAAACCCUAACCCCUAGGAUCUCAGAAUAUACUUUUUGAAAGAGGACUUUAAAGAGGUAAGUAAGGUUAAAUGAGGUCAUAUGAGAGGGCCCUAAUCCAAUCUGACUGGUCUUGUAAGAGGAAACUUGGACACACAAGGAAACACCAAGGGUGCAUAUGCACCAGGAGAGAAGCAUGUGAAGAGGCAGCAAGAGGGUGGCCGUCUAUAAGCCAGGGGAAAAAGCAUCAGAGGAAACCAAUCCUGAUAGUCUCCUGAACUGUGAAAAAAUAAAUAUUUGUUGUUUGAGCCCCCCAGUCUUAUGUUUUGCUAUAGCAGCCCUUGCAGGGUUGGAUAUAUAAUUUUCAGGGCCCAGAGAAAAAUGAAAAUGUGGUACACUAGUUUAAAAAGCAGGAAAAAAAGUUCCACUAAAGAUACUAAAACAUUAGGCUUCUUUCCCUUCCUUCUAAGGUCUUUCUCUCACUUCUGGCGGUUUUGGGGUUUUUUUUGGGGGGGGGGGAGUUGGCUGAUUUUGGUUUUGAUUGUUGUUUGUUAUUGCUAUUUUAAGUGAUUCUUAGUAAAGAAAAAUUAAAAUGUUGAAUUAUUAUCAUGGACCUAGAGACUAUCAUACCAAGUGAAGUUAGUGAAAGACAAACAUCACAUGAUUUCACUUAUAUGUGGAAUCUAGAAAAAAAAUACAAAUGAACUUAAUUCCAGAACAGAAACAGACUCACAAACUUUGAAAAACUUAUGGUAACCAAAGGGGACAGAUGAGGGGAGGAAUGGAUUGGGGGGAGGAAUGGACUGGGGUUUUGGGAUUGGUAUAUGCACACUGAAGUAUAUGGAAUGAUUGGCCAAUGGGGACCUGCUAUAAUACACAGGGAACUCUACCCAAUAUUCUGUGACAAUCUAUGUGGGAAAAGAACCUGAAAAAGAAUGGAUGUGUAUACAUAUAUAACUGAAUCACUUUGUUGUAUAGCAGAGAUUAUUACAACACUGUAAAUCAACUAUACAUCAACAAAACUUUUAAAAAUAAAAAA